rnacentral:lncRNA from 1 species
AAGGCAGCCCUGGCCUGCUCACUGAAGCUGGGGAGAGAGGAUGAUGACAAGCUAAGACCACAAAUCUCUCCUGAGGGAGUCAGGGGAGCAGGAGAUGUGGGUGGUGCUGAGCUCCCACUGCCUCCCAGGGCAGAGAGGACCGCAGUCCAGUCCUCAACCUGUGCGAAAGGUUUGGGGAAAUGACAACUGAGGCUAGCACAGACUUGCUCUUAUGGAAAUGGUAGAAUUCUGAAAGAAAAACAAAGCAUUCAAGAACUUUUGAGCCUAAGCCCCAAGCUGGCACACUGUUAUGUUUGCAGUCUUCUAUUGGCCACAGCAAAUAAGGCCAGCUGAGAUCCAAGGUUUGGGAAACAGAGUCUGCUUCUUAAUGAGAACAUCUGUACAAGCACACUGCAAAGGGUCUGGAUACAGGGAAGGAUGAUGAAUUGAUGCCAUUUUUGCAAUCAGUAUCACUAUGCAUUUUCUUGCAGAGCUACUAAUGUGUGGACAGAGUCUGCGGCCGUGGCAGGUGGCACACACUGGCAAUGAUGACCAGAGCCACGGUGACAGUGGCAGCCUGCUCCCUGGACUCUGCGUCCCGAAGCACGUGCCAGGCUGCAGCAGCAUCCACAGUGGACAGGGAGCCACGGGAAGCGGGCUGCCAUCAAGCCACAAUUUCACCAGCUCUGCUCUUGGGUGGAACCACUACUUCCCGCCAGAGCUUGCAGAUGAAGCAAAGAGGGGCCAUGGAGGGAUCCAGGGCUGACUGCUUGGAGCCUUGGUUUUCCUGCAUUUUACAAAUGGAGUUGUAGUCAUAAACCUGCCACCUCAUUUAAUUUCCAGUGAUGCUGUAAAACUAAACGAAAUUUUGAAAAUUGUGUAAGACCAU